CCGGCCACCGCUCUCUCCCCCCCUGUCCCGCAAGAUUCUUCUCUCCCUUCUCCCAAAUCCCCCCCGAUCCACCGCCCGCCGGGAGUCCCCCCGCCGCCGUCGCCCGCCGGAGCCCCAACGCUACAGCGAGGACGCCGCCGCCCGCGUGCGUGCUGCUGCGUGGGACGCGGAGUUGCUCACUCGCUCCAGCUGCUGCUUGGUUUGCUUCCAUUACUGGCAUUGCGUGGAGCUUCUGUGCAAGGCGCGUCCGGGCUCGUGGGGGGAGCGUGUCGGGUUCGGGCCAGGCCUGAAGCGCGGCG
rnacentral:lncRNA from 1 species